GACGCUGGCGGUAGGCUUAACACAUGCAAGUCGUGCGAGAAAGUAUCUUCGGAUAUGAGUAGAGCGGCGGACGGGUGAGUAACGCGUAGGAAUCUACCUAGUAGAAGGGGAUAGCCCGGGGAAACUCGGAUUAAUACCGUAUACCUCCUUCGGGAGAAAGAAGGCCUCUCUUUGAAGCUUUCGCUAUUAGAUGAGCCUGCGUAAGAUUAGCUUGUUGGUGAGGUAAAGGCUCACCAAGGCGACGAUCUUUAGCGGGUCUGAGAGGACGAUCCGCCACAUUGGGACUGAGACACGGCCCAGACUCCUACGGGAGGCAGCAGUGGGGAAUAUUGGACAAUGGGCGCAAGCCUGAUCCAGCCAUACCGCGUGUGUGAAGAAGGCCCUAGGGUUGUAAAGCACUUUAAGUUGGGAAGAAAAGUUAUUGGUUAAUACCCAAUAACCGUGACAUUACCAUCAGAAUAAGGACCGGCUAAUUCCGUGCCAGCAGCCGCGGUAAUACGGAAGGUCCAAGCGUUAAUCGGAAUUACUGGGCGUAAAGCGCGCGUAGGUGGUUUAUUAAGUUGGAUGUGAAAUCCCCGGGCUCAACCUGGGAACUGCAUCCAAAACUGAUUCACUAGAGUACGAUAGAGGGAGGUAGAAUUCACAGUGUAGCGGUGGAAUGCGUAGAUAUUGUGAAGAAUACCAAUGGCGAAGGCAGCCUCCUGGAUCUGUACUGACACUGAGGUGCGAAAGCGUGGGUAGCGAACAGGAUUAGAUACCCUGGUAGUCCACGCCGUAAACGAUGUCAACUAGCUGUUGGAAAACUAUGUUUUUCAGUGGCGCAGCUAACGUAGUAAGUUGACCGCCUGGGGAGUACG
rnacentral:rRNA from 1 species